rnacentral:rRNA from 1 species
AGAAUCAACGCUGGCGGCGUGCCUAACACAUGCAAGUCGAACGAGAAAGGGUAGCAAUACCUGAGUAAAGUGGCGCACGGGUGAGUAACACGUGACUAACCUACCCUGGAGUGGGGGAUAACUGAGGGAAACCUUAGCUAAUACCGCAUAACACCUACGGGUCAAAGGAGCAAUUCGCUUCAGGAGGGGGUCGCGGCCGAUUAGUUAGUUGGCGGGGUAAUGGCCCACCAAGACAGUGAUCGGUAUCCGGCCUGAGAGGGCGCACGGACACACUGGAACUGAAACACGGUCCAGACUCCUACGGGAGGCAGCAGUGGGGAAUUUUGCGCAAUGGGGAAACCCUGACGCAGCAACGCCGCGUGGAGGAUGAAGUACUUCGGUACGUAAACUCCUUUCGAUCGGGACGAUAAUGACGGUACCGGAAGAAGAAGCCCCGGCUAACUUCGUGCCAGCAGCCGC